UUGUCUCAACUAGAUGUGAGAUGUAAAAUAAUAAUGGUAUCAAUAAGAAAGUAGUAAUAGCAUUGGUAAUAGCUCUAGAUGUUUUCUAGCUGUAACAUCAUGAAUCACCAUAGAAUUUCAUGUAAUGGUUAAAGAUUAAGUGAAAUUAAUUAUUUUAAUAAACAAGUCAAAUGAUAUUUCAAACAUAGAACAACAGGUAUAAUUAAACUGUAUCAAAGACUUGAUGUUCACAGUCAGCUGGCUGAUGAACACACUGAGCUCCAAAAGCAAGGGAGAAUUCAUUAUGAAAUUAAUACUUAUGCACAAAAUCCUCUGUAUCAUCCUUUACAGAAUUAAUUGAUCACUUCUCACAAAGCAGACCAUUUGAGGUGUCCUGGUGUUCUGUUCUGUGACUAUCCUGUGGCUGUGACAGCCGAGGCUCUUCUCGGGCUGCUCCAUUUUCUGGGUGCACACUGUAUAUGCUGCAUUAUGACAUACUGCAGAUGUGGUCACGUGGGCUUCGUGAAGCUGCUCUGCUGCCUUGGCUACACAGAGUGACUCAGAUAUCAGCCCAGUAGUCACUAAUGUACUCACAGCCACAGUACUGUUCCUGCCUGGCAACAGCUCAGCUCUCAGAUAUCUACAUGGGAGGAGUAGGGGAGAAUAAAUUGUCAUCAAGCUACUCAGAACAACAAAACAGUGUUUGUGAAUUCUACUAAUUUCAACUGUUAAGUGCUAACAAACAGACUUCAGUGCUGUCAGGGCUCCUCAGGACUUCUGACAUUAAAGAAAUCAAAGGAGGAAUUUGCUGGCCAGGUCACUAACAAGUUUGCAAACCCAAGCUGCUUAGGAGGAAGUGAAAUGAACAGCCAAACGAAGUGCACCACCGGCAACACACUGUGGGAUUUUGAGAACUAGGAUAACCAUAAUACAACUGUCAAGUGCUAAACAUCUUCACUCCACCAAUAGGAACCAGACAUUCAUCAUUACAAUCAGAAAGGCUUUAUUGCUAUUCCUAACAUGUAUGUGUCCUCCUUCUGCCCAGCUACGAAAUCAGCUGAGUUUGCAAAUAAACUGGUUUUGGUUGAC